AACGAACGCUGGCGGCAGGCCUAACACAUGCAAGUCGAGCGCCUCGCAAGAGGAGCGGCAGACGGGUGAGUAACGCGUGGGAAACUACCCUUUGGUACGGAACAACUCGGCGAAAGCUGAGCUAAUACCGUAUGUGUCCUUCGGGAGAAAGAUUUAUCGCCAAAGGAUGUGCCCGCGUCGGAUUAGCUAGUUGGUGGGGUAACGGCCCACCAAGGCGACGAUCCGUAGCUGGUCUGAGAGGAUGAUCAGCCACACUGGGACUGAGACACGGCCCAGACUCCUACGGGAGGCAGCAGUGGGGAAUAUUGGACAAUGGGGGCAACCCUGAUCCAGCCAUGCCGCGUGAGUGAUGAAGGCCUUAGGGUUGUAAAGCUCUUUCGCCCGCGAAGAUAAUGACUGUAGCGGGAGAAGAAGCCCCGGCUAACUUCGUGCCAGCAGCCGCCGUAACAC
rnacentral:rRNA from 1 species